GGUCGAAUGGUGCAGUUGGUAGCACGUGCAGUUUCGUUGAGAACAGCUUUGUCAACUAUACACUGCACAGCCCUCGUUCAAAUCAAGGUUCAGCCC